GAUGAACGCUAGCUACAGGCUUAACACAUGCAAGUCGAGGGACGGGCGCACGGGUGAGUAACACGUAUCCAACCUGCCCUUUACUCGGGGAUAGCCUUUCGAAAGAAAGAUUAAUACCCGAUAUAAAGGAUGGGGAUGCGUUCCAUUAGGUUGUUUGUGAGGGAACGGCUCACCAAUCCUUCGAUGGAUAGGGGUUCUGAGAGGAAGCUCCCCCACAUUGGAGCCGCGGCACGGUCCAAACUGCUACGGGACGCAGCAGUGUGGAAUAUGGUUCAAUGGGUGCUGGCCUGAACCAGCCAAGUAGCGGGAAGGAUGAAGGCUUAUGGGUCGUAAACUUUUUUUAUAUAAGAAUAGGUAUUAUAUGAAUAAGGAUCGGCUAACUCCGUGCCAGCAGCCGCGGUAAUUC
rnacentral:rRNA from 1 species